ensembl:lincRNA uncharacterized LOC102027915
GAUGAGUUGAAAGUUAACUCCAAGGGCAGAUAAGGAAACAGAUUGUGAAAGCUCUCUCAAGAAGCUUGACUGCAAAAAGAAAGAAAUCUGGGAUGGAAGCCUGAAGAAGUUGUCAUGUUGAGCCAGCUCACUGGUGUCCAGCUGGGGAGGAUGGAAUGCUCUGGCCCUGCUGGAGUACAGCAGGUUAUGUCUUUCCCAGAUGGACUGAUCUCAAAGCAUGGUUUCCCAGAAUGCUACUCUCUGAGGAAUUGAGACUUUAAACCAGCUACUGUAUAUUCUAUGAAGAGCAGAGCCUGAGGGAUAAAGGAAUGUGAGUGUUUGUUAAAGAGCUUGUAGUGGGCUUGGGAACUGAGACAUAUGAAGCUCCUCUGUGUGCCGGCCUUGAAAAUCUAAGAGGCAGAAGAUUGCCCUGAGUAUCUCCAAGUCUCUUGACAAAAGUCUCUGCUCCUACAACCUUGUCUCUCCUACCAUAUUGAAAAGAAAGCCUUUUGACUCCCUGGGUGGGGAUCAGAACCUGAAGGAAGAUUAAGGUGCUAUAUCUGCUCUUUGGAGAAGACCGACAGUCUGCUACAACAUCGCUCUUCACCAGAGAAACAAAAGUUGCAGGACCCCGCUUUUGUCGCAUGCUCUGAGAUCAUGGACAAGUCAUUUCAUUUUUCUGAGCCUCAAUUCCCCAAUUUGUAAAAUAAAGAUGCAAAUAUUGAAUAGGUUUAUUGUGAAAGACAAAUGAUCUCACCUAUGUAAAAUGGACAGUAGUGUCAAGUACACCAAAGAGAUUCUUCAAAGUUUCCUUGAAUUUGAAUUUAAAGCAUCCAAAAUCUUAAUCCACAGAAAAGAGCUGGAUUAAAAAUGAGAGACAGGUCCAGGCAUGGUUUGGCAUGCCUAUAGUUCCAAUUUGGUGGGAGGCUAAGCAAGGAGGAUUGAAAGUUUGAGGCCAGUCUGGGCAGUUCAAAGAGGCCUUGUCUAAAAAAACCGAGCACACACAGGUAUAUACCUGUCCACAUUAAACUAGCUUUGUGACCUUGGGUAAACCCCUAGCUGUUCCAACUCACUGUUGCCUGAGCUGGGAAAUUGGGAUAACUGUGCAUACCAUGUGCUGCUAGUAGGAAGAUUAAAUAAAUUAAAAGAAAUGAAUCUCUAGGAAAAUGGAAGGGUUUGAAAGAGUCAACAGCAAUAUUUAAAACUGCUUAAUUUUUAGAAAACAUAAUCUUCAAUUAGUGAUAGAUUAGAGAUUUUUUUUAAAGAAAAAAGCAGUGUUACAAACCAAUGGAAUCUCCUUAUGCACUGAAAAGUCUAUUGCCAGCUACUUCUCUGCAGUCAUAAGAUACACAAAUCAAAUUCUUUAUCCAAAGCUGGGGUUCCUCUCAGCUGAGAAAUUACUGGCAGCUCUGAUUAAGGCCUUGAGUCACUUGCAAGUCUUUCCUCUCGGAGCAUGUGAAUAGGUUAAGUCUCCUCCAUGAUUACUAAUUUCACAUGACUUCACGGGAUGAUUACAUAUUUAUGUAUUAUUUAUUAUGCAAAUCUAGCAUUAUAAAUUAUUUAAAGCCAUAUUAAUAGUAUAUAUUAUUUAUGAUGGAAUUGUAUUAAUAUAUAUUAUUUCAAGUAGCUUUGACUAGAGCUUCUUUCCCCCUGUGGAUCACAGUCACUGGAAGUUAGUAUUCCACUCAAGAAUCAGUACAAUUCUCCUUCUGAGGACAUGGCCAUAGGGUUCACUAUCGGCACAAUUUUUGCAUAACCAAGGUCUGUAAAUGACUCUAACAUUAAGGAGCA